GACAGAGGGGGCAAGCGUUGCUCGGAAUCACUGGGCGUAAAGGGCGCGUAGGCGGAUUGCGCAGUCGGGCGUGAAAUUCCUGGGCUUAACCUGGGGGCUGCGUUCGAGACGUGUGGUCUGGAGUGCGGAAGAGGGUCGUGGAAUUCCCAGUGUAGAGGUGAAAUUCGUAGAUAUUGGGAAGAACACCGGUGGCGAAGGCGACUGACUGGACAGAUAUUGACGCUGAGGUGCGAAAGCGUGGGGAGCAAACAGG
rnacentral:rRNA from 1 species